GCUGGCGGCGUGGAUAAGACAUGCAAGUCGAACGAGACUUUUCGUUGUAGCAAUACGAUGAAAAGUUUAGUGGCGAACGGGUGCUUAACACGUGGGCAACCUGCCAUGAAGUGGGGGAUAGCUCGCCGAAAGGCGAAUUAAUACCGCAUGUGAUUAGAGAGGACAUCCUUUCAAAAUUAAAGUCGGGGCAACCUGACGCUUCUUGUGGGGCCCGCGGCCUAUCAGCUAGUUGGUGAGGUAACGGCUCACCAAGGCUUUGACGGGUAGCUGGUCUGAGAGGACGACCAGCCACACUGGGACUGAGACACGGCCCAGACACCUACGGGUGGCAGCAGUCGAGAAUUUUUGACAAUGGGGGAAACCCUGAUCGAGCGACGCCGCGUGGAGGAUGAAGGUCUUCGGAUUGUAAACUCCUGUCAUUGGGGAACAAGGUACAUACGUUAACUGCGUGCGUAUUGAUAGUACCCGAAGAGGAAGAGACGGCUAACUCUGUGCCAGCAGCCGCGGUAAUACAGAGGUCUCAAGCGUUGUUCGGAUUCAUUGGGCGUAAAGGGUGCGUAGGCGGCGCGGUAAGUCGGGUGUGAAAUCUCGGAGCUUAACUCCGAAACUGCAUUCGAUACUG
rnacentral:rRNA from 1 species